GACGAACGCUGGCGGCGUGCUUAACACAUGCAAGUCGAACGGAAAGGCGCUUCUUUUGUGGGGGGCUCGAGUUGCGAACGGGUGAGUAACACAUGAGUAACCUGCCCUUGACUUUUGGAUAACUUCACGAAACUAGGGCUAAUACCGGAUAGGAGCUCCUGCGUCAUUGUGGUGGUUGGUAAGUGUCGGCGGUUGGGUAUGUACGCGCGGCUUAUCAGGUUGUUGGUGGGGUAGUGGCUUACCAAGGCUUUCACAGGUAGACGGCCUGAGAGGGUGACCGGCACCACUGGGACUGAGAUAGGGCGCAGACUCCUACGGGAGGGAGCAGUGGGGAAUAUUGCACAACGGGGGGAAGCCUGAUGCAGCAGAGCCGCGCGCGGGAUGAAGGCCUUCGGGUUGUAAACCGCUUUCGCCUGUGACGAAGCGUGAGUGACGGUAACGGGUAAAGAAGCACCGGCUAACUACGUG
rnacentral:rRNA from 1 species